rnacentral:rRNA from 1 species
GUGUACAAGGUCUCCGUUGGUGACCAGCGGAGGGAUCAUA